rnacentral:rRNA from 1 species
GAUGAACGCUGGCGGCGUGCCUAAUACAUGCAAGUCGAGCGAACGGACGAGAAGCUUGCUUCUCUGAUGUUAGCGGCGGACGGGUGAGUACACGUGGAUAACCUACCUAUAAGACUGGGAUAACUUCGGGAAACCGUAGCUAAUACCGGAUAAUAUUUUGAACCGCAUGGUUCAAAAGUGAAAGACGGUCUUGCUGUCACUUAUAGAUGGAUCCGCGCUGCAUUAGCUAGUUGGUAAGGUAACGGCUUACCAAGGCAACGAUGCAUAGCCGACCUGAGAGGGUGAUCGGCCACACUGGAACUGAGACACGGUCCAGACUCCUACGGGAGGCAGCAGUAGGGAAUCUUCCGCAAUGGGCGAAAGCCUGACGGAGCAACGCCGCGUGAGUGAUGAAGGUCUUCGGAUCGUAAAACUCUGUUAUUAGGGAAGAACAUAUGUGUAAGUAACUGUGCACAUCUUGACGGUACCCAAUCAGAAAGCCACGGCUAACUACGUG